rnacentral:rRNA from 1 species
CAGCCGCCGCGGUAAUACGUAGGGUGCGAGCGUUAAUCGGAAUUACUGGGCGUAAAGCGUGCGCAGGCGGUUAUAUAAGACAGAUGUGAAAUCCCCGGGCUCAACCUGGGACCUGCAUUUGUGACUGUAUAGCUAGAGUACGGUAGAGGGGGAUGGAAUUCCGCGUGUAGCAGUGAAAUGCGUAGAUAUGCGGAGGAACACCGAUGGCGAAGGCAAUCCCCUGGACCUGUACUGACGCUCAUGCACGAAAGUGUGGGGAGCAAACAGGAUUAGAUACCCCUGUAGUCCCUGUCUCUUAUAC